rnacentral:rRNA from 1 species
UGCCAGCCGCCGCGGUAAUACGGAGGGGUCCUAGCGUUGUCCGGAUUUACUGGGCGUAAAGGGUACGUAGGCGUUUUAAUAAGUUGUAUGUUAAAUAUCUUAGCUUAACUAAGAAAGUGCAUACAAAACUGUUAAGAUAGAGUUUGAGAGAGGAACGCAGAAUUCAUGGUGGAGCGGUGACAUGCGUAGAUAUCCGGAGGAACAUCAGUGGCGAAGGCGGCAUUCUGGGAUAAUACUGACGCUGAGGUGCGAAAGCGUGGGGAGCAAACAGGAUUAGAUA